GCCCCUGUAGCAUAGCGGUGGUGCGGCUGACUUGUAAUCAGCAGGUCCCCGGUUCGAAUCCGGGCAGGGGCU
rnacentral:tRNA from 1 species